rnacentral:rRNA from 1 species
UACGGAGGGUGCAAGCAUUAAUCGGAUUUAUUGGGCGUAAAGGGCGCGUAGGCGGAAAGGUAAGUCAGAUGUGAAAUCCCGGGGCUCAACCUCGGAACAGCAUUUGAAACUCCCUUCCUUGAGGGUAGGCGGAGAAAACGGAAUUCCACAAGUAGCGGUGAAAUGCGUAGAUAUGUGGAAGAACACCGGUGGCGAAGGCGGUUUUCUAGCUUAUUCCUGACGCUGAGGCGCGAGAGCAAGGGGAUCAAACAGG